UGGGGAAUAUUGCACAAUGGAGGGAACUCUGAUGCAGCGACGCCGCGUGAACGAAGAAGGCUUUCGAGUCGUAAAGUUCUUUUAUAUGGGAAGAUAAUGACGGUACCAUAAGAAAAAGCCCCGGCUAACUACGUGCCAGCAGCCGCGGUAAUACGUAGGGGGCUAGCGUUGUCCGGAAUCACUGGGCGUAAAGGGUUCGCAGGCGGAAAUGCAAGUCAGGUGUAAAAGGCAGUAGCUUAACUACUGUAAGCAUUUGAAACUGCAUAUCUUGAGAAGAGAAGAGGUAAGUGGAAUUUUUAGUGUAGCGGUGAAAUGCGUAGAUAUUAAAAAGAAUACCGGUGGCGAAGGCGACUUACUGGGCUCAUUCUGACGCUGAGGAACGAAAGCGUGGGUAGCAAACAGG
rnacentral:rRNA from 1 species